AGUGGGGAACACUUCCGUGAGGAGUAGAGCACUCCUUAUGCCAGAUUCCCUUCUAC
rnacentral:pre_miRNA from 1 species